AUUGAACGCUGGCGGCAGGCCUAACACAUGCAAGUCGAACGAGACGCGUACGGGUGAGUAAUGACUGUGCAACUGCCCGAUGGAGGGCGAUAACUAAUGGAAACGGUUGCUAAUACCGCAUCCCUUCGGAUGUGCCCAGAUGGGUAUAGCGAGGAGGUGGGGUAACGGCGCACCAAGGCGACGAUCCCUACCUGGUCUGAGAGGAUGACCAGCCACACUGGAACGGAGACACGGGCGAGACUCCUACGGGAGGCAGCAGUGGGAAAUAUUGCACAAUGGGCGAAAGCCUGAUGCAGCCAUGCCGCGUGUGUGAAGAAGGCUUUCGGGUUGUAAAGUACUUUAAGUGAGGAGGCGUUACUCGCAUAAGAAGCACCGGCUAACUCCGUGCCAGCAGCCGCGGUAAUUC
rnacentral:rRNA from 1 species